rnacentral:SRP_RNA from 1 species
UAUGGGUAAGUCCUGUACGGCCAGCUCCUGAUGAAUCCUCCAGGGCCUGACCGCAGCAAAGGUAAAUCGGUUGUAGCGGCGCGAUGCAGAUUGCUUACCCACC